AUGGGCGCAAGCCUGAUCUAGCCAUGCCGCGUGAGUGAAGAAGGCCUUAGGGUCGUAAAACUCUUUCGCCUGAGAUGAUAAUGACAGUAUCUGGUAAAGAAACCCCGGCUAACUCCGUGCCAGCAGCCGCGGUAAUACGGAGGGGGUUAGCGUUGUUCGGAAUUACUGGGCGUAAAGCGCACGUAGGCGGAUUGGAAAGUUGGGGGUGAAAUCCCGGGGCUCAACCUCGGAACUGCCUCCAAAACUAUCAGUCUAGAGUUCGAGAGAGGUGAGUGGAAUUCCAAGUGUAGAGGUGAAAUUCGUAUAUAUUUGGAGGAACACCAGUGGCGAAGGCGGCUCACUGGCUCGAUACUGACGCUGAGGUGCGAAAGUGUGGGGAGCAAACAGGAUUAAAUACCCUGGUAGUCCACACCGUAAACGAUGAAUGCC
rnacentral:rRNA from 1 species